rnacentral:rRNA from 1 species
AGAGUUUGAUCAUGGCUCAGAACGAACGCUGGCGGCGUGCUUAACACAUGCAAGUCGCACGAGAAAGUCUUCGGAUGAGUAAAGUGGCGCACGGGUGAGUAAUACAUAGGAACAUGCCUUUUGGAGGGGGAUAACUACUGGAAACGGUAGCUAAUACCGCAUGAUCUCGUAAGAGCAAAGGUGGCCUCUAUUUAUAAGCUACCACCAAAAGAUUGGCCUAUGUCCCAUUAGCUAGUUGGCAGGGUAAUGGCCUACCAAGGCUACGAUGGGUAGCUGGUCUGAGAGGACGAUCAGCCACACUGGAACUGAGACACGGUCCAGACUCCUACGGGAGGCAGCAGUGGGGAAUCUUGCGCAAUGGGCGAAAGCCUGACGCAGCAACGCCGCGUGAGUGAAGAAGGCCUUUGGGUUGUAAAGCUCUUUCGACUGGGGAGAAGGGAUUCAGCGUGAAUAAUACUGGAUUCUGACGGUACCAGGAGAAGAAGCCCCGGCUAACUUCGUGCCAGCAGCCGCGGUA